UUUCCGUAGGUGAACCUGCGGAAGGAUCAUUAAUGCAUCUCUGACGGCGGAGGCGCGCCCUGCUCCGGACUGAUAGGCUGUGCAGCGGGCGCCGCCGAGUCGCACACCCAUCGCACACCCACCGGACACCCAUGCUGGCGAGGGAUCUAUCGCCUCGGGCCGGAACGCAAACACCAUUUCUAAAACAGAAUGAUCAGCGGAUCUGCGUGCCGUCUAUACAUAAACAACUAUCAACAACGGACCUCCUGGCUCACGCAACGAUGAAGAACGCAGCAGAUC
rnacentral:misc_RNA from 1 species